ACCCUAUUGGUAAACACUGCAUGUCCGCAGCCCGCUCAGGGGUUACCUGGGAAGAGGAAGCACCGGAAAUGGCUGUCCAAGAAGCGCCCGUCCGGCUGUCCGGUGAACUGUCUGUUAUCAGAGAGAAAUGCGUACUUUUUGAGGGAUUGCUUGAUUCUGCAGGUCUUGAGAGAAGACGGAUGAGGAGCCAAGUCAGGCCUGUGGUGCAAGACAGCUGAGGAAAGGAGCCCAUCAGGAGCUGCAGCUGGGAAGCAGGCCUUAGCUGCUAAGUGACAUUUAAAGAGUCAUUUCUCCCGGAGUGUUUACUGAAUGCUGCAUUUCUGCGUAAGGACCACUUCAACACCAUCUUGCAAAUAUUGGUUGUCAGGCAGGUUCCUGGGAUCUAUCUCCACCUCCCCCGAGACGCUGGGGUUGCAGGAGUGCAUGACCACGCCCGCUCGUCUGUGCCUUCUGGGGACGUCACCUCCACCGAGCCACACCCCAGCCCCUCAUAAUCCACUUUAAACUUCGUCCCGUUAUAGUCAGGCUACAUAGUGAGGAAGGAGCCCAGUUCUUGGAGCCGUUGAGACUUGCCCGUGUCUUAGCAUGUGCCAUUACUACUGUUAGGAUUGGCUUGAUGUAUUCACUAUUCAGAGAGGUAUGUCAGCAUAAACAGUAUAAACAAAAUAAACAGUCCACCAUG